CGUAGGUGCAAGCGUUGUCCGGAAUUAUUGGGCGUAAAGAGCUCGUAGGCGGUGUGUCGCGUCUGCUGUGAAACUCAGGGCUCAACUCUGAGCUUGCAGUGGGUACGGGCACACUUGAGUGCUGUAGGGGAGACUGGAAUUCCUGGUGUAGCGGUGAAAUGCGCAGAUAUCAGGAGGAACACCGGUGGCGAAGGCGGGUCUCUGGGCAGUUACUGACGCUGAGGAGCGAAAGCAUGGGAGCGAACAGGAUU
rnacentral:rRNA from 1 species